UACAGAGGUCCCAAGCGUUGUUCGGAUUCACUGGGCGUAAAGGGUGCGUAGGCGGUUCUGCAAGUCUUGUGUGAAAUCUUCAGGCUCAACUUGAAGUCUGCACAAGAAACUGCCGGGCUUGAGUAUGGGAGAGGUGAGUGGAAUUUCCGGUGUAGCGGUGAAAUGCGUAGAUAUCGGAAGGAACACCUGUGGCGAAAGCGGCUCACUGGACCAUUACUGACACUGAGGCACGAAAGCUAGGGGAGCAAACAGG
rnacentral:rRNA from 1 species